AUUGAACGCUGGCGGCAAGCCUAACACAUGCAAGUCGAACGAGUGGCGGACGGGUGAGUAAUGUCUGGGAAACUGCCUGAUGGAGGGGGUUAACUACUGGAAACGGUAGCUAAUACCGCAUACCAUCGGAUGUGCCCAGAUGGGAUUAGCUCGUAGGUGGGGUAAAGGCUCACCUAGGCGACGAUCCCUAGCUGGUCUGAGAGGAUGACCAGCCACAUGGGAACUGAGACACGGUCCAGACUCCUACGGGAGGCAGCAGUGGGGAAUAUGGCACAAUGGGCGCAAGCCUGAUGCAGCCAUGCCGCGUGUAUGAAGAAGGCCGUCGGGUUGUAAAGUACUGUCAGCGGGGAGGCGUUACCCGCAGAAGAAGCACCGGCUAACUCCGUGCCAGCAGCGGCGGUAAUUC
rnacentral:rRNA from 1 species